rnacentral:rRNA from 1 species
UACGUAGGGUGCAAGCGUUAAUCGGAAUUACUGGGCGUAAAGCGUGCGCAGGCGGUUAUGUAAGUCAGAUGUGAAAUCCCCGGGCUCAACCUGGGAAUGGCAUUUGAGACUGCAUGGCUAGAGUGUGUCAGAGGGGGGUAGAAUUCCACGUGUAGCAGUGAAAUGCGUAGAGAUGUGGAGGAAUACCGAUGGCGAAGGCAGCCCCCUGGGAUAACACUGACGCUCAUGCACGAAAGCGUGGGGAGCGAACAGG